rnacentral:rRNA from 1 species
CCCUGCCCUUUGUACACACCGCCCGUCGCUCCUACCGAUUGAAUGGUCCGGUGAAGUGUUCGGAUCGCGGCGACGGGGGCGGUUCGCCGCCCCCGACGUCGCGAGAAGUCCAUUGAACCUUAUCAUUUAGAGGA